rnacentral:misc_RNA from 1 species
CUUUUUGUGCAUAAUGUAUAUAUAGGGGGGGUAUAGGGUGUCUCCAGAGACACUUAUCGGGCUAUGAGACACCAGACGCACGAGAGACGCACGAGAAAAGCACCGAUCAGAAGAAGCUAAGCGAGUCGGUAUACGAGCUUCUCGAGACGGUUUCGAGAACUAUGGGGGUUUAUGAUGCACGAUGUGGGUUUAUCGAUGCUGUUGGGUCGGCCAAGACCCUUCGAUGUGCCUUGAACGGCCUAUUGAUCCAUGUUUGUACUAUGCUAGUUGCGCACGCUGAGGCCAGUGACUAGAUGUUAGUACGAUAUGGUGAUAUAGGUGUGUGGCAUCGGCCCAGACCCUUCGAUGUGCCUUGAAAGGCCUAUUGAUCCAUGUUUGUACUAUGCUAGUUGCGCACGCUGAGGCCAGUGACUAGAUGUUAGUACGAUAUGGUGAUAUAGGUGUGCUUCGAGGCAUGGUGGUUUCCAUUUUUCGUUUGUUACUUUCGCAUCGUUCGGUGCAUUUUGGGGGCUGUUUUGGCUUUUGGUUGCUUGCUUGGCCUUUUGGUUGGGUGGGUCGCUACUAGUCGGGUGGCUUUCGGGAAUGUCGACCGGGAAGGUGCAUGAGUGGUGAUUGGUUUGUUACGUGUGGAUGGCUGUUUGCUUGCGCAACAACUUCCAUGCUGCAUACCUCUUCAGUUUUGCGGCAAGGCUUGGUUUGUCUUGAGCGUAUUGUGGGUUUCUUGUGUUGCAUACCUAAUUGAUGGUAACGUGUGGGUUUCAUGAUUUUCCUUUUCGUCGUGCGUCGUUCAUGCGGCGUGGGAUGAACAAUGAAGCGGUCUUUGUGAUCCACCGUGUUGUUGCGUUUGCAACAAUGAUGUGGCCUAUGAAGCAUCGUUUGGUUUCUUGUAUACGGAACCUGAUGUGGGCUUGGGUCUUUAUAAGAUCCUCAUUUUGCCCUCGUUAAGCGUUCUCGCUUCUCAAAAACGAUUGCCUGCCAUGUUUUGGCUUGUCCUUGCAUGGUGGGCUACGUCGAAGAGGAAUGCUACCUGGUUGAUCCUGCCAGUAGUCA